rnacentral:rRNA from 1 species
AUUGGUUUUAUGUUUAUUUUUUGUAAGAAUAUAUAGAUAGUACCUUUUGUAUCAGGAUCAUUUAAUUUAAGAAAUUAUUUGUAAUUCUCGAUAUUAACUGAGUUAAAUAAAUUGUUAUAUGUUGAAUAAUUUUAUAAAUUUAUUUAGUAAUGAAAAUUUUUCGUAGUUGAAGGUAGCUAGUUAUCAGAGUAGAUUAAUAGAAGGGAUAAGCUUUUUGUUAAUAUAUAUUUGAAGUAUUAUAUGAUAAAUUAGGCUUAAAAUUAGCCGUAUUAAUAAUUUGUUUUAAAUAUUUUAUGUUUAUAAAAUAAUAUUAUUUUUAAAGGUAAUUUAAUUUUGUGGGGUGAUUUUAUUUGAAAUGAAUGAAUUAGUAUUUCUUUUUUUCUGCAGUAUAUAACUCGGGGAUUGUAAAAUAGUUUAUCAAAAACAUUUUUUUAUUUAUUAUAAAAUAAGGCCUGCCCAGUGUAUUAUAAACGGCUGCAGUAUUUUGACUGUGCUAAGGUAGCAUAAUAAUUUGCUUUUUAAUUGGAAGCUGGCAUGAAAGGUUAUAUUUAUAAAAUAUGUUAUUUUACAGAAUAAAUAAUUUAUGUUUGUGGUAAAAAUACCAUAAUGAAAUAAAGUGACGAUAAGACCCUAUAAGCUUUAUUUAUAGUAUGAUUGGACUGUAAAUUUAGUGUCUUUUUGGGCUAUUAAAUUUUACUGGGGCAGUAAUAUUAUAUAACUUAAUAGAUUUAAGACACAGAUUUGUGAAUAUAGGAUCUUUUUAUAAAGAAAAUCAGGGUAAGUUACUGUAGGGAUAACAGCGUAAUAGUUUUGGAGAGGCCUUAUCGAUAAAAUUGAUUGCGACCUCGAUGUUGAAUUAAGAUUUCUUUUUGUUGUAGGGAACAAAUAAGAAGGUUUGUUCAACCUUUAAAUUCUUACAUGAUUUGAGUUCAAAUCGGUUUAAGCCAGAUUGGUUUCUAUCUUUUAUAUUUUAUUAUUUUGUGCUAGUACGAAAGGGACACAUAAAGUUU